GAUUGUAGGCUGCAACUCGCCUAUAUGAAGUUGGAAUUGCUAGUAAUCGCGGAUCAGCAUGCCGCGGUGAAUACGUUCCCGGGCCUUGUACACACCGCCCGUCACACCAUGAGAGCCGGUAAUACCCGAAGUCAGUAUCCUAACCGCAAGGGGGGAGCUGCCGAAGGUAGGAUUGGCGAUUGGGGUGAAGUCGUAACAAGGUAAC
rnacentral:rRNA from 1 species